GGGGGGGGGGGGGGGCGGGGCUGGGGGGGGGGGGGGGAGCGGUGGGGGGGGGGGCUUGCGGUUCUUGGGUGGGGGGGGAACGGGUGGGGGGGGCGUAGGGAACCUGCCUUGUAGGGGGGGAUAGCUAUUGGAAACGGUAGCUACUACCGCAUAACAAUGGAUGACACAUGGCAUUUAUUUGAAAGGGGCAAUUGCUCCACUACAAGAUGGACCUGCGUUGUUUUAGCUAGUAGGUGAGGUAAUGGCUCACCUAGGCGACGAUACAUAGCCGACCGGAGAGGGUGAUCGGCCAACCUGGGACGGAGACACGGCCCAGACUCCUACGGGAGGCAGCAGUAGGGAAUCUGCGGCAAGGGGGGCAACCCUGACCGAGCAACGCCGCGUGAGUGAAGAAGGUGUUCGGAUCGUAAAGUUCUGUUGUAAGUCAAGAACGGGUGUGAGAGUGGAAAGUUCACACUGUGACGGUAGCUUACCAGAAAGGGACGGCUAACUACGUG
rnacentral:rRNA from 1 species